rnacentral:lncRNA from 12 species
CGAGAAUUAGAAUUUUUAUCAUACAAAGCAGAGGGAAACAAUUUUUAAGUUAUUAAGAAAUUGUCUAAUUGUAUGUUUUGAGAAAUUGUGUCAUUUCCUGACUUAACUAUUUUUAAUUUAACUGUCAUUUUCCUAUCAAUAAAAAAAUGGGUCAUAAUUCCAGAGUGAGGAAAGUAAAAUGGCUACUCUCUAGUUUUAGAGGUUUAAGGAUUUCUAAGUACUUUAUAAGGCUGAAAUCUAAUAACACAUCUCCAGUUCUGUCAGAAAUAUUAUUAGCAUAAUAUUCUCUUACCAGGGCCCUACCAGCUUUUAACCUGCUUGACACUUUUCCUGUAUUUGUGCUCUGUUUAACACAAGCUAGCCCGCAGCUUCCUGUGUGAUGGUGAUAACAUAUGCCUGACUUUGUUGUUGGCUGCUGGAGUGAAAGGGAAGACAAUGCCCUUUAACCUGUGAAGUAGAAUAAAGCUUAUCAGAUCCUCCCCAGAUAUCAUUAAAGGAAAUGGGCUGAGAAGGCUGCCUCUGGUAGGAAACAUAUAUUUUAGAAAACUGUCACUGCUAAUCUUUUUUGUUAUGGCACCAGAAAAUCACUUCUAUGAAUUUCAGUCCUUCUAGACAAUGAAACCCUACCCAGAUAAACUGAAGAAAGUACCAAGAAAAGCAUAACAGGCAAUAAAUUAUCUUCUUGCAACCCCUAUGGCAAAUGCUCUUCACCAAAAGAAUUAACUCACUAUCAUUGGAAAUGGAGCCUGAAAUCCAUUAAGUGCUUAAAAGGUGGUUCCUCAUCUUAUUUGAGAACGCAACACAAACAAUAUAGCUGAUACUGGGUCGACUGCCCUCCGUGGUUUAAAGAACUGUUGCCCGUAGCCAGGAUUUUGCGACUCGGAGGGUAGCACCGUCCAGAAGUUGUGAACACGCCAGCUUCACACAGAGGACCUGUCCUGGACCCCGUGGCCCCAACCUAUAAAUUACAUACUCUCGGGCUGAUUGCCCUCUGGGGCUAUUCCCAGCGGGCACAUCCCUUCAUUAAUGGCAGAGAGAACAAUUCUUUCAGGACAGGAUUUCCUGAGUGUCAUCUGACCAUCACUGGGCGUGCAGGGUUACGGGAAAGGUACCACUUGGCUAAGGAAAAUGUGAAUGCCAGACCACAAAUGGUUGGUCCAGAGCACUUUGAGUCUGCACAAAUUAGUGAUCCCAUUAGCAUUAAAAGGAGGCUAAUCUCAGAGGGAAAAAAAAAAAAAAGGAAUAAACUGAUACAUGCAAUGACAUGGAUAGAUCUUAAAAGCCUUAUGCUAAGUGAAAGCAUUAUGCCAGAUUCAAAAGACCACAUACUAUAGGCUUGAUUUUAUGACAUCCCAAAAAAGACAAAACUAUAGGGACAGAAAUCAGAUCAGUGGUCUCCAAAAGUGGGAAAAGGGAUUGCCCACAAAGAAACAUGAAAGAGAUUUUUCAGAUAAUGGAAAUCUUUUCUAUCUUGAUUGUGGUGUUAAACUACUAUAUAAAUUUGUCAAAAUUUAUUGAACUGUACACAUAAAAAAGUCACUUUUUAUUAAGUAUAAAUCAUAUUUGAAUAAGCAAAAAAAAAAAAAAAAAAAGAUUUUGCUUACAAAGGCCAAAGCCAGUAUAUAUGACAACUCCACCACUAUUUCUCCCUGAGACCUUGAGCAUAUUCUGAAACUCCUUAUAAAGGUCUAGAAUUACAUCAAUUCACUUUAAAAUUGUACCCCAAAGUAGCCUAGACCUGGAAAGCCAUUUCAGUAGAGACUAGUUAAUUAAAAAAAAAAAAAAAAAAAAAAAAAAAAAAAACUCCAGGUGUGCCAGAAAGUUCCUGGAAUAAUCUUAGCAUUUGUUUUGGCCAAAAUCUGUUUCCCAUGGUCAGCAACAACAUGUGGAGCUGGACUUUGCCAGAAAAUAUUCCUCUGGCUGCUUUCUCUUUGCACAGCAUUCAGAACGUUGUGUGCCUUUAGAGAAGGGCUAGUUAACAUAAAAAUGCGAUCAAUUACACAUAACAGCAGUUAUAUUUCAGCAUAAAAACUUUUAGAAAAUGUUCAUCUUACAAAAUCCCUUUAUUUUUUAAAGAUUUUAUUUGAGAGAGAGAGAGAGAGAAUGAGCAAGAGAGGGGCAGAGGCAGAGGAGAAGCAGCCUCCCUGCUGAGCAGGAAGCCCAAUGUUGGGCUCCCUCCCAGGACCCGGGAUCGAGACCUGAGCAGACGGUAGAUGCUUAACCCACUGAGCCACCCAGGUGUCCCCCCCCCCAAUUUUUUUACAUGGGAAUAUCUUACAUAGAAAAAAUUGGGACGUCUGGGUGGCUCAGGGCUUGGGUGCCUGCCUCUGGCUCAGGUCAUGAUCCCAGGGUCCUGGGAUCGAGUCCCCCAUCGGGCUCCCUGCGGGGAGCCUGCUUCUCCCUCUGCCUGUGUCUCUCAUGAAUAAAGAAAUAAAAUCUUAAAAAGAAAAACA